AAAUCCCUGCCGUGCCCGUGUUGGUCGGCGUGUUUUGAGCCAACAAAACACAUAACGGGAGUUCGAUUCGGGUGUGGACGUAAACCCGCAAGGGCAACGGAAAAUACCUGAUAGAACACCCCUCUGAACCAAACGGUUCAGAAGGCGCCUGCCAUACGACAAUGGCGGGGAUUUU
rnacentral:other from 1 species